CCGAGUUUACAACUCCCAAACCCCAUGUGAACAUACCUGUUUCGUUCCCUCGGCGGUGUCCGGAAACGGCCCGCCAGAGGACCCAACAAACUCUUUUGAAUUUAUAGUAUCUUCUGAGUGAAAAAAACAAUAAAUCA
rnacentral:rRNA from 1 species